UAUAAUUAUCCACGCUCCCCACCUUGCCGACUUUAUCCUUAAUGAGAGGUGCAAGAGUAACGGACAACAUCGAGUCUGGUGCAGAAAUGGUAUAGGUUUGUAUGUAUCUAUUGAUCAUUUUACAUACAUAAAGAACACUAAUACACAAUACAUGCAAGGGUACACAGACAACUAGCAGAGAUUCUUCACGACCAUACAUUGCCAGGUCUCUAUUAUAUUUUCUAGUCAUACAUGAGCUGGAGAACAUAUAGCAUAACCUGCACUAACUCGUUAGUGAAGUCUCUCGUGUGUGUCAGUUUGAGUCCA